UAGGGAAUCUUCCACAAUGGACGCAAGUCUGAUGGAGCAACGCCGCGUGAGCGAAGAAGGUUUUCGGAUCGUAAAGCUCUGUUGUUGGUAAAGAAAGAUAGUGAGAGUAACUGCUCAUUAUUUGCCGGUAAUCAACCAGAAAGUCACGGCUAACUACGUG
rnacentral:rRNA from 1 species